AAAUGUGCAUAAACUAGGGUUAGGAAAGUGUGUCAUCCUUCUAUUGGAAAUUAACGUACGCAUUUUUGGGGAGUGGAAACGACGUUGUGCAACCGGCUUUAGAAAUUUGACCUUUAGUACAGUUUUAUUCAUUUUUCACACAAAAUCUAUGUGUUACAAGGGAAAAAUACCCCGUCGUUACAAAUACGUGCUCGUGCGUACGGGAAUGGAAAAAAGUUGGAAAUAUACAUCAAGAUGCUUGUGUGAUGUGAUACAUCUUGAUAUCCUUGAGAACUUGAAGUUUACCAGGCUCUCUGUCGAAUUUUGUUGCGAGAGCAGAAAUGUCCAAUUGUUUCUCUAGUUCGGUACGCUUCAGUGAUGCUUUCUUCAGCCAAGAGUUUCGGUAUGACGAGAAGCGGCAGGAUUUGCAGGAGGUCUGGAGAAAAGAGAUCCCUUUUGGAAGGGGAUGUCCACAAUGCAAAUGAACAAUUUAGCAGACUGAGCAGAAGCGCCAAGACUGGCAGAACGUGAUCGGUCGUACCUGGAAACAAGGUAGCCUUAAAACUGAAUUUUUGCAUGUUGAUAGUCGUAACUUGAUUAGAUUUGUUGAGUGAAGGCCAAGUCUCAAGCUCUUCAAUCAAGUGCCUGUCAUUGAAUUUCA